GAUUGAACGCUGGCGGCGUGCCUAAUACAUGCAAGUCGAGCGAACGGACGAGAAGCUUGCUUCUCUGAUGUUAGCGGCGGACGGGUGAGUAACACGUGGAUAACCUACCUAUAAGACUGGGAUAACUUCGGGAAACCGGAGCUAAUACCGGAUAAUAUUUUGAACCGCAUGGUUCAAAAGUAAAAGACGGUCUUGCUGUCACUUAUAGAUGGAUCCGCGCUGCAUUAGCUAGUUGGUAAGGUAACGGCUUACCAAGGCAACGAUGCAUAGCCGACCUGAGAGGGUGAUCGGCCACACUGGAACUGAGACACGGUCCAGACUCCUACGGGAGGCAGCAGUAGGGAAUCUUCCGCAAUGGGCGAAAGCCUGACGGAGCAACGCCGCGUGAGUGAUGAAGGUCUUCGGAUCGUAAAACUCUGUUAUUAGGGAAGAACAUAUGUGUAAGUAACUGUGCACAUCUUGACGGUACCUAAUCAGAAAGCCACGGCUAACCACGUGCCAGCAGCCGCGGUAAUACGUAGGUGGCAAGCGUUAUCCGGAAUUAUUGGGCGUAAAGCGCGCGUAGGCGGUUUUUUAAGUCUGAUGUGAAAGCCCACGGCUCAACCGUGGAGGGUCAUUGGAAACUGGAAAACUUGAGUGCAGAAGAGGAAAGUGGAAUUCCAUGUGUAGCGGUGAAAUGCGCAGAGAUAUGGAGGAACACCAGUGGCGAAGGCGACUUUCUGGUCUGUAACUGACGCUGAUGUGCGAAAGCGUGGGGAUCAAACAGGAUUAGAUACCCUGGUAGUCCACGCCGUAAACGAUGAGUGCUAAGUGUUAGGGGGUUUCCGCCCCUUAGUGCUGCAGCUAACGCAUUAAGCACUCCGCCUGGGGAGUACGACCGCAAGGUUGAAACUCAAAGGAAUUGACGGGGACCCGCACAAGCGGUGGAGCAUGUGGUUUAAUUCGAAGCAACGCGAAGAACCUUACCAAAUCUUGACAUCCUUUGACAACUCUAGAGAUAGAGCCUUCCUCUUCGGGGGACAAAGUGACAGGUGGUGCAUGGUUGUCGUCAGCUCGUGUCGUGAGAUGUUGGGUUAAGUCCCGCAACGAGCGCAACCCUUAAGCUUAGUUGCCAUCAUUAAGUUGGGCACUCUAAGUUGACUGCCGGUGACAAACCGGAGGAAGGUGGGGAUGACGUCAAAUCAUCAUGCCCCUUAUGAUUUGGGCUACACACGUGCUACAAUGGACAAUACAAAGGGCAGCGAAACCGCGAGGUCAAGCAAAUCCCAUAAAGUUGUUCUCAGUUCGGAUUGUAGUCUGCAACUCGACUACAUGAAGCUGGAAUCGCUAGUAAUCGUAGAUCAGCAUGCUACGGUGAAUACGUUCCCGGGUCU
rnacentral:rRNA from 1 species